GAUGAACGCUGGCGGCGUGCCUAAUACAUGCAAGUCGAGCGAACAGACGAGGAGCUUGCUCCUCUGACGUUAGCGGCGGACGGGUGAGUAACACGUGGAUAACCUACCUAUAAGACUGGGAUAACUUCGGGAAACCGGAGCUAAUACCGGAUAAUAUAUUGAACCGCAUGGUUCAAUAGUGAAAGACGGUUUUGCUGUCACUUAUAGAUGGAUCCGCGCCGCAUUAGCUAGUUGGUAAGGUAACGGCUUACCAAGGCAACGAUGCGUAGCCGACCUGAGAGGGUGAUCGGCCACACUUGAACUGAGACACGGUCCAGACUCCUACGGGAGGCAGCAGUAGGGAAUCUUCCGCAAUGGGCGAGAGCCUGACGGAGCAACGCAGCGUGAGUGAUGAAGGUCUUCGGAUCGUAAAACUCUGUUAUUAGGGAAGAACAAAUGUGUAAGUAACUAUGCACGUCUUGACGGUACCUAAUCAGAAAGCCACGGCUAACUACGUG
rnacentral:rRNA from 1 species